rnacentral:rRNA from 1 species
UACAGAGGGGGCAAGCGUUGUCCGGAAUCAUUGGGCGUAAAGAGCGUGUAGGCGGCCCGAUAAGUCGGUUGUGAAAGUCAAGGGCUCAACCCUUGAAAGCCGGCCGAUACUGUCGGGCUAGAAUCCGGAAGAGGCGAGUGGAAUUCCUGGUGUAGCGGUGAAAUGCGCAGAUAUCAGGAGGAACACCAAUGGCGAAGGCAGCUCGCUGGGACGGUAUUGACGCUGAGACGCGAAAGCGUGGGGAGCAAACAGG